CGUGUUUGGACUCCGAAAUGGGUAAGGACCCCUCACCCUAUUUCCUAUCACGGUCUUAAAGUUCAAUAAAUGAUAAAACGGUAUUUCAUGAAUCAACGAAUGUGUGAAAUUGCUUAAGGUCGCUAAUGGAGCCCGAGUCUAGUGUGUUUGUCGGUUAACUGUUAUUUGGCCUGUUUUACAGUUUUAAAUGCAGCAUGAGGUUUGAUGUUUUCAUUUUAUAGUUUCGUGUGUGUAUUUUACUAUUUUACUGACUAUGGAUUGAAUGAUUGGGAUAUUGAUACUGUAUGUUGUCUGUUUGCCAUAAAUUAUCGUCUUGCUUCUUUGUAUGUGUAUUGAUAAUGCUGACUGAGGGAAAAAGAGAAUGAAAGAUUAUGUAAAUGGGUAAUUGUAUAAUGUGGUCAGCCUGACUAGAUAUCCUGGGAGAUGGUGGACGGACCGGGUCCGUAGG
rnacentral:lncRNA from 1 species